ensembl:rRNA 5S_rRNA 5S ribosomal RNA
ACCAGCAGCCAUAUCAGCCUGCAACUCACAACUGGCAACCCACUGAAGCUAAGCAGGUAUGAGCCUGGUCAGUACCUGGAUGGGAGACCUCCUGGGAAAAACUAAGGUUGCUGCUUGAA